GCCGUGGUGGUGGAAAUGGUAGACACGCCGUCUUGAGGGGGCGGUGGGGAGACCCGUGCCGGUUCAAAUCCGGCCCACGGCACCA
rnacentral:tRNA from 1 species